UCGAGAAUAAUUCACAAUGGGGGCAACCCUGAUGGUGCAACGCCGCGUGGAGGAUGAAGGUCUUCGGAUUGUAAACUCCUGUCAUCCGGGAGUAAGACCUGACGGUGAAUAGCCGGCAGGGUUGAUAGUACCGGAAGAGGAAGGGACGGCUAACUUCGUGCCAGCAGCCGCGGUAAUACGAAGGUCCCGAGCGUUGUUCGGAAUCACUGGGCGUAAAGGGAGCGUAGGCGGCGUGGCAAGUCAGACGUGAAAUCCCGGGGCUCAACCCCGGAACUGCGUCCGAUACUGCCAUGCUUUGAGGGUUGGAGAGGUAGCUGGAAUUCUUGGUGUAGCAGUGAAAUGCGUGGAUAUCAAGAGGAACACUCGUGGCGAAAGCGAGCUACUGGACAACACCUGACGCUGAGGCUCGAAGGCCAGGGGAGCGAAAGGG
rnacentral:rRNA from 1 species